UGUGUGUGUAUUAUAUAUAUGAUAAAAUUUAUAAACUAGGCAUUCAUACUCCUGGUCGGUGAAUCUUUGGAGCUCAAAUUCUGUGUCCAGUAGGACCAGAGGGCUGCUGUGCCGCUAGGAUGAAGCUCGUGAGAUUUUUGAUGAAAUUGAGUCAUGAAACUGUAACCAUCGAAUUGAAGAAUGGAACACAAGUCCAUGGAACAAUCACAGACAGCUUACCUCUGGAUACAUUACUUGUGGACAUUGAACCUAAGGUGAAAUCUAAGAAAAGGGAAGCUGUUGCAGGAAGAGGUCGAGGCCGAAGUAGAGGAAGAGGGAGUCCUAGGCGAUAAUGUCUUUCAAGAUUACUCUUUCAAAGUGAUAAGGAAUUGGGGGAAUUUUUUUUUUCGUACAGGUUUUGCUUGUUUGUCAGUUUUUAAUAAAUGUAAGUGUGGGGAUGGAGUUUUCUACUGAUUAUCAAAACAGUUACAAGCUAGGCACAAUAAGAGAGCAAUAGUAAUUGAAUUGAACAGUUACAAUGAUACAAUAAAAAUUGUCAACUUCACUACACUUAACAUUUUGAGAUUAU
rnacentral:lncRNA from 1 species